AACGGCUACUACAUCUAAGGAAGGCAGCAGGCGCGUAAAUUACCCAAUCCUGACUCAGGGAGGUAGUGACAAGAUAUAACAACGUGACUUUAAAUCGCGAUUGUAGUGAGGGUAUUCCAAACCGAACUUCGAGUACGAUUGGAGGACAAGUCUGGUGCCAGCACCCGCGGUAAUUCCAGCUCCAAUAGCGUAUAUUAAAGUUGUUGCAGUUAAAAAGCUCGUAGUUGGAUUGCUAGGACGAGGUUCGCCAAGUCCUACUAGUCCCUUCGGGGACAGUUACUGUGAGAAAAUUAGAGUGUUUCAAGCAGGCGUUUGCAGGAAUACAUUAGCAUGGAAUAACGAAUGUUUCUAGAAUCUUGGUUAAUUCUAGAUUACGAUUAAUAGGGACAGUUGGGGGCAUUAGUAUUUAAUUGUCAGAGGUGAAAUUCUUGGAUUUGUUAAAGACUAACGUAUGCGAAAGCAUUUGCCAAGGAUGUUUUCAUUAAUCAAAAACGAAAGAUAGGGGAUCAAAGACAAUCAGAUACUGUCGUAGUCCUAUCUAUAAACUAUGCCGACUAGGGAUUGGGGUGUUUUUGCCAUCUCAGUACCUUAUGAGAAAUCAAAGUCUUGGGUUCUGGGGGGAGUAUGGUCGCAAGACUGAAA
rnacentral:rRNA from 1 species